ACUCAAAGGAAUAGACGGGGGCCCGCACAAGCAGCGGAGCGUGUGGUUUAAUUCGAUGCAACGCGAAGAACCUUACCCAGACUUGACAUGACCGAGCAAGCCGCGGAAACGUGGCCCUCUUCGGACCCGGUCACAGAUGUUGCAUGGCUGUCGUCAGCUCGUGUCGUGAGAUGUUGGGUUAAGUCCCGCAACGAGCGCAACCCUCGUGUGCUGUUGCCAAUCAGCGCAGACUGCCGGUACAAGCCGGAGGAAGGUGGGGAUGAUGUCAAGUCCGCAUGGCUCUUACGUCUGGGGCUACACACACGCUACAAUGGCCGGGACAGCGGGAAGCCACGGGGCGACCCGGAGCGGAUCCCAAAACCCGGUCUCAGUUCGGAUGGCAGGCUGCAACUCGCCUGCCUGAAGUCGGAGUUGCUAGUAACCGCGUGUCAGCAUAGCGCGGUGAAUAUGUUCCCGGGCCUUGUACACACCGCCCGU
rnacentral:rRNA from 1 species